CUUCUUCUUCUUCUUCUCCUUUCUCUACUCUCUACGCGCUCCCUCUCUUCCUCUCUUAAAACCUUACCCUCUGUAACGACGACGACGACAACGACAAGGAGAAUAGGCGAUGGUGUUGCGGUUGUGCUGCAGGCCGCUUGAGCGGUGCUUUGGGAGGCGUACUGGCGGAGGUGGUGGUGGUGGUGAUGGGGGGAAUGAGGAGAGUGGUGAUCAGAAAAGGAAUAAGAAGGAGGCUUUGAUGGCGUUGACGGAGGCAGGUAGGUCGUUGGAUAGUUUGCCGAAGGAUUUGAAGGCGGCUAUUGAGGAUGGGAGAAUACCUGGAUCCAUAGUAUUGAGAUAUUUUGAGCUGGAGAAAUCACCAUUAAUGGCAUGGUUGCUUCGUUUUGGAGGGUUUAAGGAGCGGCUAUUGGCAGAUGAUCUCUUCCUUGCCAAGGUUGGGAUGGAGUGCGGCGUCGGUAUUUUCACAAAGACUGCUGCUGAGUAUGAGCGUCGCAGGGAAAACUUUUUUAAUGAGCUAGAAAUUGUUGUCGCCGACGUGGUGAUGGCCGUAAUAGCAGAUUUCAUGCUCGUCUAUCUUCCUGCUCCAACUGUUUCUCUCCGACCGCGAAUGGCUGCUGUUAAUGCUGGACGAAUUGCCAAGUUCUUUUACAACUGCCCAGAUAAUGCCUUUCAGAUGGCCCUGCCUGGGACAUCAUACUCAUUGUUGCAAAGAAUAGGUGCAAUAGCGCGCAAUGGGUCUAAACUUUUUGCUGUUGGAACUGCCUCUUCCCUGGUUGGCACAUUGGUGACAAAUGCAGUACUAAAUGCUAAGAAGGCUGUUAAUAGUUCUGCUGCUGAAGAAGUGGAGAAUUUGCCUGUUGUAUCAACCAGUGUAGCUUAUGGUGUUUAUAUGGCAGUUUCCAGCAACCUUCGAUAUCAAGUUGUUGCUGGUGUAAUUGAACAACGGAUCUUGGAGCCCAUGCUACACAAACACAAGUUGAUGUUGAGUGCAAUGUGCUUUGCUGUGCGAACAGGCAACACAUUCUUGGGUUCACUAUUGUGGGUUGAUUAUGCUCGUUUAAUCGGAAUUCAAAAGGCUCAUGACGAAGCUCCUAGCCAAAAGGCUCAUGAGGCAUAGGUGCAUUUACUUGGUUUUGAAUUUCAGAAAGUCGAUUUCUGAUUGCUAGACCAUUUAAACGUUACAUGGAGAUAGGUUAGCGGGAAAUAAUUUUGCAUAAGUAGAGGUUAUAGAUCUAGCAUCUUUCUUAGACCUCUCAAGUAUUUAUAUGUUUGUUUGAUAAUUUGAAGAUUUUAUGUUGUUCUUUAUCGGGUUGGGAUACUUUUGCUUUAUAUUUUCUGUCAUUUUUGGUACUUCUGUAAGUACCAACUGUGGGAUUACAAAGAUAUUUGUAAAUCGAAUGCAUCUUUUUUUCGCGCUUGGAAUUGGUGAUAUGCAUUCAUGAUUUGUUAAAAUGAAGAGACUUGGGGUGUGUUUGGUAAGUAGGAGAAUAUUUU
rnacentral:misc_RNA from 1 species